rnacentral:lncRNA from 1 species
UGUAUUGUGAUGAAGUCCUUAGGACUAAUUUAGUGGAUAAAGGAGGUUUUAUCAUUUAGUCCUUAAACCAGUUCGCGACCAAAUGAUGAGCUGUCAAUUGGAUGAUAGCUAUGUCAAGUAUAGGUCGUUGUGUGCCAUUUAGUUGGUUGUCCUCUUAAACCAAGAAGUGUGGAGACACUGUAUGGCAUACAGGUGAGAUGUAGGAGUACAUCGUCACUGAACAGUGACUCACCUGCGUAGCACUCCACUGUCGGGAGUUAGCUCGCAAAGCGUAUGGGCAUAAGUACCCCUUAGACCUGAGACUGUCACG